AGCGGGUCCGUUUCUAGUGUCAUG
rnacentral:miRNA from 1 species